GAUGAACGCUAGCGGCAGGCCUAACACAUGCAAGUCGAGGGAGGAGCCUUCGGGCUUCGACCGGCGUACGGGUGCGUAACGCGUAUACAAUCUGCCUUUUACAUAGGGAUAGCCCGAAGAAAUUUGUAUUAAUACCUAAUGGUAUAUAGAUGUGGCAUCACAUUUAUAUUAAAGCUGAGGCGGUGAAAGAUGAGUAUGCGUUCUAUUAGCUAGUUGGAGAGGUAACGGCUCCCCAAGGCGACGAUAGAUAGGGGUUCUGAGAGGGAUAUCCCCCACACUGGUACUGAGAUACGGACCAGACUCCUACGGGAGGCAGCAGUAAGGAAUAUUGGACAAUGGUCGGAAGACUGAUCCAGCCAUGCCGCGUGCAGGAAGACGGCCUUAUGGGUUGUAAACUGCUUUUGCAGGGGAAGAAUAAGGACUACGCGUAGUUUGAUGACGGUACUCUGCGAAUAAGCAUCGGCUAACUCCGUG
rnacentral:rRNA from 1 species